UACGUAGGUGGCGAGCGUUGUCCGGAUUUAUUGGGUUUAAAGGGUGCGUAGGCGGCCCCGUUAGUCAGCGGUGAAAUACGGCAGCUUAACUGUCGAGGUGCCGUUGAUACUGCGGGGCUUGAGUGCGGUCGAGGAGGGCGGAAUUGACGGUGUAGCGGUGAAAUGCUUAGAUAUCGUCAAGAACACCGAUAGCGAAGACAGCCCUCCAGGCCGCAACUGACGCUGAGGCACGAAAGUGCGGGGAUCAAACAGG
rnacentral:misc_RNA from 1 species